rnacentral:lncRNA from 1 species
UCGCGCUCGUCCCCCGCACAGAAGGCAAAGCCGGCUUUCAAGCCCUCCCCGAGAAGCAAAAGGAGCAGUCUCAGUAGGUAUCAUGAUGCCAGGGCUGGAAAACACACGUUCUUGAAAAUGUCACAGAAGGCUCAAGGAUUUAUAACUUCAAAGGAUCAAUCCAAACAUCAAAAGACAAAAAGAAGCUGUAAACCACUGAUGAACUCCACUUUCAAGGUCCAUGAUCCACCAGCUUCUAAUUCGAGUGGGAGAAGAAAAGAAGGGAUAAGAGAUUUCAGAAUGUCUAAUGAAACAACAUCAAACAAUCCUGGGUUUUGUCUUUCUAUGUUGAAGACCAGAGGGACUGUGCAGCAAUACUACCCCACAGUUCUCUUGCUGUGUGCCUGCGAAGAUAUAUUGUCUAAAAAAGAAUGAGUUGGUACUCAGGAAGUGGUUAAGAGUGAGAGGAAAUGUUUCAUGUCAGAGGCAGAGGCUAUUUCCUCAGCACUGCCAACCUCCUCCUAUUUUACAUGAGAACAAAACAGUUCUGAUAAAUCAGGCCACCAGUCCCAAUAUUGGCUAACUACAUGCCCUUCAAAAGUUCACAAGAAUGAGAGUAAGACUGCAGCUUCUAUCCAUCAUCAUUCUUCAGCCAUUUGUAUGUAAUAUGUGCUGCUUAUGAUUUAAGAUGUAUUAUACACAUUCAUCAGAUCUAACAGCGAAUGCUCUUAGCA